rnacentral:rRNA from 1 species
AUACGUAGGGGGCAAGCGUUAUCCGGAUUUACUGGGUGUAAAGGGAGCGUAGACGGCGAAGCAAGUCUGAAGUGAAAGGACGGGGCCCAACCCCGGAACUGCUUUGGAAACUGUUUGGCUGGAGUGCGGGAGGGGUAAGCGGAAUUCCUAGUGUAGCGGUGAAAUGCGUAGAUAUUAGGAGGAACACCGGUGGCGAAGGCGGCUUACUGGACCGUAACGGACGUUGAGGCUCGAAGGCGUGGGGAGCAAACAGGAUUAGAUACCCUGGUAGGCCACGCGGUAAACGAUGAUCACUAGGUGUCCGUGGGUAUGACCCAUGGGUGCCGCAGCCAACGCAAUAAGUGAUCCACCUGGGGAGUACGUUCGCAAGAAUGAAACUCAAAUGAAUUGACGGGG